GUUUUUUUGAGAAUAAUUUAAAGUCAAAUCUGCCCACUGAUUUAUUAAAGGGCUGCAGUAAAUUGACUGUACAAAGGUAGCAUAAUAAUUAGUCUUUUAAUUGAAGACUUGUAUGAAAGAUUUAAUGAAAUAUAGACUGUCUCUUUUUUAUAAUUUGAAUUUAAUUUUUUAGUAAAAAAGCUAAAAUUUUUUUAAAAGACGAGAAGACCCUAUAGAGUUUUAUAUUUAAUUUAAAUUUUAAUUUUUUAUUAAUUUUAAAUAAAAAUUAAAUUAAUUAUUUUAUUGGGGUGAUAAAAAAAUAAAAAUAACUUUUUUUAUAGGAGUAUUAGUAAUAUACAUAUAUAAUUAACAUUGAUUAAUGAGAAAAUGAUCCAUAAUUUAUGAUUAUAAGAAAAAAUUACCUUAGGGAUAACAGCGUAAUUUUUUUUUUUAGUUCAAAUAAAAAAAAAAGUUUGCGACCUCGAUGUUGGAUUAAGAUAAAAUUUAAAUGCAGAAGUUUAAAUUUUUUGAUCUGUUCGAUCAUUAAAAUCUUACA
rnacentral:rRNA from 1 species